CCUACGGGGGGCAGCAGUGGGGAAUAUUGGACAAUGGGGGGAACCCUGAUCCAGCCAUGCCGCGUGUGUGAAGAAGGCCCUCGGGUUGUAAAGCACUUUCAGUGAGGAAGAACGCCUGGUGGUUAAUACCCAUCAGGAAAGACAUCACUCACAGAAGAAGCACCGGCUAACUCCGUGCCAGCAGCCGCGGUAAUACGGAGGGUGCGAGCGUUAAUCGGAAUUACUGGGCGUAAAGCGCGCGUAGGUGGCUUGAUAAGCCGGUUGUGAAAGCCCCGGGCUCAACCUGGGAACGGCAUCCGGAACUGUCAAGCUAGAGUGCAGGAGAGGAAGGUAGAAUUCCCGGUGUAGCGGUGAAAUGCGUAGAGAUCGGGAGGAAUACCAGUGGCGAAGGCGGCCUUCUGGACUGACACUGCCACUGAGGUGCGAAAGCGUGGGUAGCAAACAGGAUUAGAUACCCCAGUAGUC
rnacentral:rRNA from 1 species